GUAAUUUAGCUAAACAGUUAGCUAAGAUAACUUUUCAGCUUCGACUGUGUUUGGUUAGUUUUUAAGCGUUUAAAAGAGCAUGAAGGCCUAUAUCGUUUGUUGUUUUGGCCUUUUAUCUGGGUGAAAAUGCGAAAAUUGUGACGUUUUUCUUCUACUGUUGUGGCUCAACCCUGUUAGCAUAUUAUACUAUGCCGAGCGGAGAAACCCAUGUGGUUACAGUGGAUUUGCAACGCGAAGUCAGAAGUAACGAUCUUUCUAUUAAGCUCACAGAAUUGGCAGGAAAGUCGCAAAUAUGACAGAAGUUUGUGAGAGUUGUGUGACGGUGUUAACACGCUGUAUGCUGCUUGUCAGACGUGCUAAGUUUCAGUCAAGUACAGCAGAGAGUCGGGGACGAGUGGUCUCAAAAGACACACCUGUAAGUACACAGGGGAAAGGCUUCAUCGGCGAUGCACAGGAGGUAACGUUCAGCUGGAGGACAUCGUGCCGUGUGCACGCACAGUCUGCCGUCACGUUGAAGGAGAGACGAUCAAACACCUGGUCAUGGAGGAGCUUCAGCAGGAUCUGGUCAGCCUAACUGGAAGUUUCCCAGCUCCUGAUGGAGAGCCACCAUAAAGACUGGACCAAACAGUGUAAGGCAAGUUCUUUUACUUUGGUAGUUUUUCUGUGUCAGGAAGUUUCUCAGAGCUUUCCUAAACAAAAACAAUAUAAGGGCACAAUUUUCAAAUAUGAUCUUAGAUAUAGUUCAGCUCAAAGACCAUGUAAACUAUGAUGGUAUUUACUCAGAUAUUUACAGUAAGUACCAUAUCAUACUGUAAAGGUUUUAUGUAAAGGGGUGGCUAUCUCUUAAAAUACACUUCAAAUGGCUGGAAAAUGCAGAGUUUUGAGUUUGUUUGUUUUUUCACAAAUUUCUGGGGUCUCAACAUCUGAACCCUCCUAGACUCUCUUUGUUCUGCUGGUGCUCCUAGGUGAAGCUUACUGUUAUCACUACAAAUCAUUUCUAUACAACUAGUUAAAUUAAAUAUAUAUGUACAACCUUGUUUUGUUGUUUUGUCACCAUGAAUGAUCUGAUGUUUAGUUGAGGUGUUGGAGAUGUUACUGAUASAACAGAUGAUUCUGGCAAUGAUCAAAUGAUGGUCUGGCUGCAAUCAGAUCUGGUGUCUUUACUUUCCUCUGUGGUACUAAUAUCUGUAUGUACCAGAACACAACAAUUCUGUAAGAGCUGUUCUUAUGUCUGUUGGGAGCAAAAAACAGAGGAG